CUCAUCUCUGUUAUAUCUGUAGUCUCCAGCUGCUUAUAAAACAGACACAUAUGCUGGUUAUCAGACAGAACACAUAAUUGUACCGCUGGGGCCUUAAUGUGCAAUACAAUGAUACACUUUGUAAUACAGAUGUUUCAACUUCCUGAUGAAAUGAAUGUCAAUUGGAAAUUAAAGGGAACGCAGAGACUGAAUACUUUCGAUGACCUCUUUUGUUAUUUCUUUUGAAGAUAG